GCCUUUUUUUUUUUUCCUUCUUAGUCGUGUGUACAUCAUUGGGAAUGGAGGGAAAUAAAUGACUGGAUGGUCGCUGCUUUUUAAGUUUCAAAUUGACAUUCCAGACAAGCGGUGCCUGAGCCCGUGCCUGUCUUCAGAUCUUCACAGCACAGUUCCUGGGAAGGUGGAGCCACCAGCCUCUCCCUGACAAGCAAAGUGGAUCAGCAAAGGCUGCAGUCACCAGCAUCUUUUCCAACCUUAAUGAACUGUAUCCUCAAAAGAACACUAUCAGACUGGCUCUGCCGACUUCCAGUUCUGGAACAAGAUGGUUAAACUCAUUUUUCCCUGCUCUGCUCCUCUAAAUACAACUAAGUACCUUGGAAACUAUUCAGCAGACAAUGAUAAAGGGCUCUGAAAGCUAGAAGAAAAGGUGUACUUGCAAGAAACCUCAGGACUUGAGUAACAGCAACAUGAGCCCUCCUUGAUGUGAGCACAAGGGACCUCCAUGCUCCUACUUCUGCUGGUCUCCAUUUCACCAGGCGCCUCCCUCCGACUUCCAAUUGGCCACAAGCUUCGUCGCUCUCUCUCAAAGCAAUUUUGUGUGUGAGUAUAGUCAGAAGGACUUUCAAGCCCCAGUGAGCAAAGAGGGAACCUCACUUUUACACGAGGUGACCUUUGCACAGGCAGCCAUCGAUGCUCUGAAGAUACAAAGAGAGCCCCUCCAUCAGGUCAUCUUCCUAACUCAACUCAGCCACAGGAGUAAGAAAAUACAUCAAGCUCAAUGCAAACUGUGAGCUCAGAAAAUCUGGUUACUAAUUUUAUUUCCUGUCUUUGAUGAUCUGUCUCUGGAAUAAAGCUCUUGAUAUUUCUGUGCCAUGA
ensembl:lncRNA MIR4435-2HG MIR4435-2 host gene